rnacentral:rRNA from 1 species
UUCGGUGGCGAUGUCAGAGGGGUCAUACCCGAUCCCAUCCCGAACUCGGAAGUCAAGCCCUCUAGAGCCGAUGGUACUGCGUGGGAAGCUGCGUGGGAGAGUAGGACGCUGCCGGGA